CACCUUCUCCUUCUCCCCCCCCUCCGCCCCUUUCGCCUUCGGGACGUACCAAAGCUCGACGCGGGGAAAGGGGUACCGUUGUCAAGGGGACAACCACUGAGCCUGUAAUUUUCUUAAAUAAGGCCGCCGGUUAUUUCGGGUUAUGGCUUCACGCUCUGGUUGGGAUUUCAAAAAGAACGAGAAAACAUGAUUAUGGCGGUUAGACCGCAUUUUCUAUUUCCUGGUCUCCCCCCCCCCGUAUGGGGUUUGUGUGGACCAGUCAGUUCAGGGCGACUCGGUUCUCUCCGUGACGGCUCGGGGCUUAGUUUCACUCAGAUACAGUAACUAAAACUGGAGGAAAUAUACUGCAAGUAUGAUUGCACUGUGGGUUUCCCUAAAUGUUAUAUGGCCAUGAGCAAAUAUGGUUGGGUGCCUCUUAUUACCCCCUGCCCUGUGGACUAUGAGAUGCCUGUGUUGGAGCACUCACCACCUCUUGAGCAUCUCAUCCCCCUACUACCCA